AUGCUCGAAUAUGGGAGUGAGAAGACUGCCAACUCUCUCAGAUUUGUGUCCUCUACCUGUAAAGGGCUUG
rnacentral:sRNA from 1 species